rnacentral:rRNA from 1 species
AGUCUCCUGAAGGAACGUUGAAGACGACGACGUUGAUAGACCGGGUGUGUAAGCGCAGCGAUGCGUUGAGCUAACCGGUACUAAUGAACCGUGAGGCUUAACCUUACAACGCCGAAG